rnacentral:rRNA from 1 species
UUGGAAGGAAACGGGUGGACCUGGCGUUAGUCCACUGGAUUCAAUCCUCUGAUUGCCUGGUCGGGAGCCACGAUCGUUGCGACGGUCGGCUUUGCCGGCGGGAGGGCUUUGGAGGUGCAUUUCCAGUGGAUGCGCACUAGAGACAGUUUGGAUUCUGCAUGAAGCGUGUGUUGCCGGCUGUUGCUUGCAUCAGUGUCCCACAUAUGUGUAGUGCGAGUUUUCUUGACUGGAAAACAUGGGUGCGCCCGCUAGUGGCUCAGGUGCUGUGGUCGCGUUUGGGUUGAGGCUAGGUGCUCCUUUCGGGGACCCCGAUCUCCCCUCUCUCGUUCGCUUCAGGCCUGAGCCGGUGUGCCUCUCUGGUGUCCCUGUCAGUUACCCACCUGACCCGUCUUGAAACACGGACCAAGGAGUCUAACAUGUGCGCGAGUUAUUGGGUUGCAAAACCUAAAGGCGUAAUGAGAGUGAAGGCCGGCUUGACUGGUUGAUGUGGGAUCUUCUCUUAGGGGAGGCGCACCACAGUCCCGUCUCGUCUGCAUUGUCAGUGAGACGGAGAUAGA